AUGAGCCUGAGACAGCUCCUGGCACUAAGUAGCCCCUCAGAAGCCUUCUCAUCCCCUUCCAGGGCUGCACCUGGGGUCUCUGCAGGCAGAGGGGCCUCCCUGGAGUCUACGCUCGCCCUUCCCCGCAGCAGCCAGAGUAAGCCCACCACCGCCACCGUCCUCGCCGCACACCAGGCCUGGGGCCGUUCAGGAAGCAAGGGGGGAAGCCUCCAGAGAAGGAAUGACCCCGUGGAGGCCCUGCGCAGGGGGAGGCCGAGGAGGCCCGAGCCGGCGGCCUCUCUGGUGGCACCGCACCUCCCCUUGAAGCUGCCGGUUGGAGGGCCUGCGGGCCGGGGGUGGCUGCGGAGCUCACUCGCGCUCCGGGGCCGGAGGGGGCGGGGGUCCCCACUAAGCCUUGCAACUUCCACCCCAUGGCCCGAGGCCGGCCCAGGACGCAGCCUGGGACCUCCCCAAAUCCCGCGGCCCUGCCCAGGCCUGCCCAGCGCGGCGCUCGCCUGCGGCCCACGUCCCCACCCGCGGCCCGGUCCGACCCGGCGCGCCACGGGCCGACAUGGGCACCCGCAGGGCCCUCCCCGCGGGGCCACUGCAAACUUUCUCUUCUGCCUGGAGGAGGGGGCCGCGAAUGCGACCACAGACAUUGCGCCGCCCGGAUCGCAGGGCCCCGGACGCGCUGCGACCCGCCGGGACGCGGCAGCCUUUCGCGGAGACCGCGCCCGGACACACGCGGGCGCCCGGCCGGAGCCGCAGGACACGCCAGCCGCGGACACGCGCGCCGCAGUCCCCGCGCACACCCCCUGGCCACCGCCAGCGCCCCCCCAGCCACUCGGGACCCCGGGCCGCGAUGAGCCUCCCGCCGCCCGAGGGGAAAGUUGCGCCCCGACUCACCCGACAACCCCGGGCGCGCCCCGCCACCGGCCAUCGCCGCGCCCUGCCGCUUGCCCCUCCGCGGGGCCGCCCACGCCGCGCAGGCCGCCCAGGCCGAGGCCGCAGCGCCCGGGCUCCGCUCCGCUGCGUGGCUGCGUCGCCGCUGCCCAGCAUGAAUGGGGCGCUGAGCGCCGCGCGGCUGCGGACCGGCCUCGCUCUCGCCGCCCGCGGAGCGCUGUGCCGCGCGCAUGCGCCGCCCGAAGCCGGGGCGGGGCUGGGAGGCGG
rnacentral:lncRNA from 1 species